UAACCACAUUGGAUAAUGGGCUUCGCGUG
rnacentral:piRNA from 1 species